GGCAAAGAAGGCGCUUCCACUCAACUUCAAUUAUAUUUGUGUAACACCCCGGGGUCCACCAACACCCCGGAAUGCUAAUAAACAACACUUCUGACAUCUAUAUAUAAAAUUUCGGCAGCAUCCCCCUUGCAAAAUUGCAUAAAUGAGGGGGCAACAGUGUAUAAACAUAUAUCAUGACAAAAACAUACUAAGUAUUAUUAAUCGGCUACCAAAGAGAAGUUAAACAUACGACAUGAAGUGAAUUAACUAGUGCGCACGACUAGUUAAAAAAACAAACUUCCUUUGACAAUAAGUUUCUAAUUAAAUCAUGGCUGCGCCUGGGCAGCGUUAUUGUGAGAGUGAAAGUGGACGUGCUGCUACUCCCCUCAUUCCCAACAUGUAUCAAGUACCUGCAUUGAGUAAUGCAAGAGUGAGAUGACACAUCUCAGCAAGUAAAAUAAUAUCAAACUGUUUAACCACAUAAGAACAUUGUUUUACCACCACUUGAUUCCACAACCUUCUUAUUACGAAGGUGCAGCACGUAUACAAUGUACAACACACCUAGUCACCACACCUCGCAGGUAGAAACCACAAUAGUAACAUAGUAAUGUCACACUUCAUAUAUACCUCAUGAGUGCAAAUGUCUGCAAAUGCAAGGAUGACUUCUGCCUUCAUACCUCUAAGGAUAUGAAGCCGCAUCGUACCCCUCCUCGGGCAACGUACGAUGCUAAAAAAGUACCGGUACGGUCGGACCAUAAGAUCACGACAUAACUUCAAAAUGCAAGAUGGAUGAUGCGAUGAGCAUGUCAUGCCUACAACACUUCAUAUAACGUGAUUCAAAAAAUACUUCACUUCAUCCAAGAAUUCAAUGAUUAACAUAAUUAAAACUUAUGCAUACUCAAUGUCAGGGAAUAGGAUGCAACCCAAACGGUAGCAACCACCACUGUAUUUACUUGCCUUUACCGGAAGUUCGGGCAAAUCCCUAAGUACGAUCCGGAAGUCCACCACCUGUUUUUGACACACAACUUAGUGCACCAAUUUCACAUAAUCAGGCUCAUAAACGAUGUCGCACCUACGCACAAACUCAAACCCCGCCGCGGGUGACAUCUCUCCCCACACCCACCAAACUGCAGCGGCGCUGCUUAAUAAAUUUAUAACUUUAAAAUUAUGACAGCAGUGGUAACAAACAAAAACUCCAGAGGCAUCUACAUGAAAUUCCCCACAAGUUUUGUAUACAAUUUAUAAUUAAAUUCCAACAUCUAAUUAGCCCAAAACAGUCUACAAGAUGAACCCUGUAAUCUGUUUUUUGUCUUUUGGACAGCGACAUACCCGGAUUCAAACAGCGAUAUCUUUUAAAAUAUAAUUCUAAAUCAAGCACAUAAGUACUUAUUGGAAAGAUAAGACAAAGCCCUACAUCAUUAUCAUACUGGUUAACACUAAUUACCCACGAAAAAUUCCCAGAAACUGCUAAUACUACUGCUGUUCACCCACCUGAAAAUCUGUUUUUUUGGACAGCAACAUAACCGGAUUCAAACAACGAUAUCUCCUAAAUUAUAACUCCAAAUCGAGCGCAUAAGUACUCGUUGGAAAGGUAUGACAAAGCUCUACAUGAUUCUCCCACUGAUCCCUACUAAUUGCCCACGAAAAAUUCCCAGAAAUCCCUAGAACUACUGCUGUUCGUCCACCCACUAAAUUUCUGGACAGGACCUCUACCAAAUCGCAUAGGUAAACAUGUAACCAAUUGGAUUGCAGCACAAAUACAACAAAAUGAUCAUGAAAAUCACCUUGGGUUCCUCCUUUCCUCCUUCUUUUCUUCCUUCUUCCUCCCUCCAAACUCCCAUGGAAGACUCGCACCCACACGACGGACACCAAGUGGGGAGGCUCCACCUUGGAGAGGAAGAGGUGGGGAGGGGGGCUAGGGUUGAGGGAUGGCGCUGCAAUCACUUGGGGAAGAAGGAGAGGGAUUGGGGCGGCUGCAAGAGUGGAAGAGAGAGGGGAGGGACGGCCAAAGGGGUGGGGGAGUGAGAGGGAGGGGGUGGCUAGGGUUUAGGGGGGAAACUAAUGGGCUCCCCACCGCCGGAUCAAGAUCCACGGCCCAAACUCGCUCUCACGUCUGCUCCCGACCCCAACGCACAAAUCCAACAAGUAUUCUACUGUUUUAUUGGUGAAUGCUUCCUAAAAAACUCAAACCCCAACUACGCAGAUCACGAAAGAAAAGGAAAAAAAUACAUUUAACUUCUUUUCAGAAAAUUGGGUAUCACACUCUACCCCCUUAAAAAGAAUUCGACCUCGAAUUCCGACGCUUCUAUCGGAACGACAAGGAAAGAUUAAUGAAUCACACAUAAAGAAAGGUUCGGGUACUUCUGCCGCAUCAGCUCCUCAAGCUCCUAGGAUUCUAAGAUACGUAGCAGACGACACUCUAGAGUCUGGUCUUGCUACACAGGAAUCGGCUCUAGCUCGAUUUGAUGGUCUGGAUUCCGCAAAUACUUCCUCAACAUAAAGACAUGGAAUACAUGGUGUACUCUGAUCAUAGACUCCGACAAUUGUAGGUGCUAAGCCAAGCUGCCAACUCGGGCUAAGAUAGUAGACGGUCCUAUAUAACUCGGACAAAGCUUUCCUGACACCAAAUCAACAUUGACACAUGCAAGUACUUCAAUAAAUAUAUAUAUGAAUGUAAUACAUACAGUGCUCAAAUAGCCUAAACCAAACCUAUCCAAACAAGAGUAACUUCAAAAGAUCAAUUUAAUGCUUGCAUAUUUCUAGACAGCAGCACAACGGUUAUUUGUUUUCCUCAUAACUCACAAAAUAUGCAUCCAAUAGAAGUAAACUAGGACUUUAUGGAAAGCUUACAAAGUCCACUAUACCCUUGGUAUUAUCAUCACCACAAGAUUUGACACUUAGAAAGGCCAAACAAUGCGAAACGUAAAUUUUGUCCAGACUUGAACAGAAUUCAACUACUCACUUCAAAAAUCCAUAAUUGGAGUCUCAGUCAUCCCAUUCAGGCGCUCCUAGACUUUUUAGAAAGCCAGUAAAAUUGUCUAUAUUUCAUUUAUAAACCUAUCAGGUUAAUUCAAUGCAUAUCAAGAUCAAAAGACAUAAGAAAGGCUUUGCUGUCCAAAUUUGGACAGAUUCAAAGAUUCCAAUUAAAACAGAUGUAGCUUAACUUAUAGGUCACCAAAAAGGGUGAUCCAAAAUUUGUUGGAAAUCUUAAGGAAAGUACUACCACUUCUUUAUAAUUUAUAAGAACUGAUUCGAAGUUUAACUUGGGCAAACAAGGUCAGUUUUGAAAUCUGUACAGAAUCUGGACAGAUUCCAAGACUAGACUUGAGAAAAUCAUAACUCCCAAACUACUAGACCUAUGGUCAUGAAAUUUUACACAAGUAAGAUAAAGAAGUUGGCUACAACUUUUUAUAUACAACACCUCUACCGAAAACAUGGUGUAAUUCAUUGAACUAGCGGCAUAACCAAAACUGGUCAUGUAGUCCCAAACAACAAGCAAUAGAUUUAUUCAGGUUCUAUACUCUUCUAAGAUUAAGCGUUCAUCGAAGGACUAAUAACUUUAGGUUCUUCAUUACGAGACACUUAGAGCCAACAUAAGGGUAGAAGCAAUAUGCUUACUUUUUAAAUCAUUUUAAGCCUGAUCUCACAUCAUGCAAGCAAGAAUCAAUUUAAGUAUACUAUGCCUGCCCAUAUAUCCAUCCAAUAACUCAGACAAUCUGCAUCUCCACCUAGACUUCACACGACGUAACUAUUUCAUACUUACGCAAACACGCCAAGACCAGAAAACAUGGCUUCACAACAAUACGUACUGGCCUAUUCAAAUAUCCCUCGCUAUCUCUCUGUUUUAGCCCACGCUCCACAUAUCCAAUAACAAGAUAACUAUCACAACCACUACAUCUAUUCCCUCCCACCAUACAACAUAAUUAACAUGGAUUGCGAAAGAGCUCACCAUAACUAAACCAAUCUCCCAAAGAAAUAUCCCUAAAUAGAAAAUUGACAAUCAACAGCACAAAUGCUCAUUCUGUCUCUACCUCUUUCACUAUAAAAGCAAUGAUAACAAAGAAAUAUUGUAAAAUCAUCUAAACUUCAUGACCUACAACUUUUGUAUUCAAAGGAUAAACAAAGUUUUUUUUAUCUCCAUUUUUUUAAUUUGACUUGUAAGGUGACAUACAUGAUCUGCCACCAGAACCUGACGGAACAUGACCCAUAAAUUCAAAACCUCAAAACUCUCUGCAUCUAACAAAAUUUUACAAAUAUAAACUCAUUGAAAAGAUUAUAACAUUCCCUAAAACUUUUAUUAUAAUGAGUGUCUCAGAAUUGGUUUCCAAACCGAUAAAAUAAUGCAACUGCUUUGUUGCAAAACUGAUAGGUUAGAAACAAUGGACAACUAAAAUUCAAAAUACUAUAACUCCUGCUAUACUCAACUUAAAACUACAACGAACACGCGUUGGAAAAGUUUGGAAAUUGUCCACGACUUUUGCAAUAAAGUUCCACCCAAAUUUAUCUUUAUAGCCCUCAACUCUGCAUGACCUACAGCUAAACUCAGCCUGAGAUACUGCACAUCAGAGAUUCGACUUAUAUCCGGACAACCACCUCUCCCAAUCUAUUUAACAGACAAUUACAAGUAAAUACCCAUUAAAAGGUACUAAGAAAAACUAAAAGUUUUUCUUAAAGAGAAUUCCCAAAUUUGGGCUCUGAAACUAUCAAAACACGGUCAAUUUAUUAGUGGUUUUAACGACACCUAAAGUUCAGACACAACGGUGCAACAACUUCAGAGUAGCCUAACUCCAAUUAUAUGCAAUGAAAAUUACAAACCAAUACUCUUUGGGAAGAUCAUGAAAUUACUAAAACUUUCAUAAUCCAACAAAACCCAAAAUUUACCGUAUUCAAUGUCUAUACUUCCGUACAAAAUUAAGGCUGCUAUAGGAAACCCAUAACUCUCAAAUGUUUAGACCAAACUGGGUGAUUGAGCAUCCUAUGCAAAGAUGAAGAAACCUACUACAAAACAUUCUAGAUAAGUGAAGCCUGAUUCAGCCUCCAACUAAUUUAAAAUGACUCCCAAAACAAAACAACACCUUACCCAUAAUAAAAAAACAAUAUAAAAUAAAACCCAAGGCAUUGGCAGGUGCGACCAACAUUAGGAUUUUCCACUACCAAAUGGGGAUGCAACUCCCUAAAGCCUUUAAGCAACACUUUACCUAAUAGGUUAGAACACUAAGCACCACAAUCAACGAAUUCAACAACCUCAUUUGUUAAUGCCACUAAGGUCAAACAUCCAUGUAUCGACAAUGUAUGAAACACCUGACAUACCCGUCUCUAGCACUAUAAAACAUGGUUGUUAUUACACUAGAAUCCAACUAUUAGAGCUCUCCACAACUAUUCUGUUGACGCGAAGCAAAUGGUGCUCAUGUCAUGUAACGUCUUUUCCUCCUCUCAAAAGAGAUAAAAUUUGCAAAACUCAUAAAGCAAUGGAGGGAUAACAAGAAAAACUAAUGUACUUCUUGACACAGACUCAUGCAAAAGCUUCAUAAAUAUUACUUUCAAUACUAAAAUAAUAACACGAUACUAUGCUCAACAGGAGUAAUUGGACGUCAAUAAGACAAUCCACAUAACCAAACUACCUUGAUUAACCUCACAUACAACAAAACCUACUAUUACUGCACUUGAACAAUUUGUACUUAGUGAUAUCACAGGAUGCAUUCAAAGUAGUAGACAUACAUGAUCUAUCAAACCAUCAUUCAUAUAAGAAAAAUCUCAAUCCGAUGCAACAACCCCAUCAUUAAAGAGAUCGAUGACUAACAAACAUAAGCAACUCCCAGUUAAGCAUUGACUUCGUUUAAGAUAAAGCGGUCCAAAUAAUGAUUCAACAAGCAUGCAUAGAGAAAUUGCUCAUAAAAAUCAAACUGCCAUACAAUGUUGGCAAAUAAAAAAAUAUAAAACGGGUUGUCAAUAUCGCCCACAUGACUAGCCUGCAACAACUAAAAAAAUAUGCAUAGCCUUAAUGGCUAUUGAAACAAGCCAUAGAAGGAAAACAUGCACGACGUAAAAUCCACUUGAAACCACCCUAUUUAUUGUUAAAAAUAAGGUUGCACAUAAUAAGAAAACCUAUCAGGUAGACAUGGUUGGACUUAUCAAUCUACGUCAUGUCACAAAUUCACUCGAGUUCUACCAGUCUAAAGAUUUCAUAGACAUUACAACGUUGCAUCUGCUCUAUAGAGACAAACCAAUUUUAUACUAAGAUCAAGUUAGCAAGUAGCCACACUAGCCUAAAAAAGUGAGGCGCAAAGCAUUGCACCCAUGGAAAUAUUACAUUGAUAAGUUGGGUUGUAACCCAACAGUCAAUCAAACUCAACAACACCAUAAAACUACAUUAUAUAGUGUUUUCACACUACACCAAGUCGGAUUAGACCCACUAUACACAAGCUCAAUAAACAAUUGGUCCUAUAAGUACAAGAUCCCAAGAAUCCUUUUGGGAAAAAAACAUCCACAGUCAAGCAUAUAGAAAUAUAUGAUGGUAAUAGCUCAGAGAUUUGAAAACAUUGCAUCCCAAAAAAAACAUCAUGACGAUAUGUAUAUAAAACAAGUACAUUAGUAGCUUCACUUGCAUAAUAUCUUCAAUAACAACCACAUCAAGAAACCAAUACUAAAUAGAAAUAACAACCAUAUCAAGCAUUACGUCGUUAACGACAUACCCCAUCAAACCAUAAAGGGAUUUGGAGUAAGGAAGUUCUAGUCAUCUAUACAAUAAAAUACUAAUAUGAAAGAGAUACGAACCUAUACCAUUCCUAUAUGUGCAAGUGUGUCAAAUUUAUCUUCAAAUUGCGUAGAAUCUAAAGCCUAUCCUCUGAUACCAACUGUAACACCCCGGGGUCCACCAACACCCCGGAAUGCUACUAAACAACACUUCUGACAUCUAUAUAUAAAAUUUCGGCAGCAUCCCCCUUGCAAAAUUGCAUAAAUGAGGGGGCAACAGUGUUUAAACAUAUAUCAUGACAAAAACAUACUAAGUAUUAUUAAUCGGCUAGCAAAGAGAAGUUAAACAUAUGACAUGAAGUGAAUUAACUAGUGCGCACGACUAGUUAAAAAAACAAACUUCCUUUGACAAUAAGUUUCUAAUUAAAUCAUGGCUGCGCCUGGGCAGCGUUAUUGUGAGAGUGAAAUUGGACGUGCUGCUACUCCCCUCAUUCCCAACAUGUAUCAAGUACCUGCAUUGAGUAAUGCAAGAGUGAGAUGACACAUCUCAGCAAGUAAAAUAAUAUCAAACUGUUUAACCACAUAAGAACAUUGUUUUACCACCACUUGAUUCCACAACCUUCUUAUUACGAAGGUGCAGCACGUAUACAACGUACAACACACCUAGUCACCACACCUCGCAGGUAGAAACCACAAUAGUAACAUAGUAAUGUCACACUUCAUAUAUACCUCAUGAGUGCAAAUGUCUGCAAAUGCAAGGAUGACUUCUGCCUUCAUACCUCUAAGGAUAUGAAGCCGCAUCGUACCCCUCCUCGGGCAACGUACGAUGCUAAAAAAGUACCAGUACGGUCGGACCAUAAGAUCACGACAUAACUUCAAAAUGCAAGAUGGAUGAUGCGAUGAGCAUGUCAUGCCUACAACACUUCAUAUAACGUGAUUCAAAAAAUACUUCACUUCAUCCAAGAUGGGAAUCAACCACAUAUAUCAUUACCAAAUUAUGAUCAUCCACAAUAUUAGACAAUUGAGAAUUAAUACUUCCAAACAAAUAAACUUCAUCAUAGAAUUCAAUGAUUAACAUAAUUAAAACUUAUGCAUACUCAAUGUCAGGGAAUAGGAUGCAACCCAAACGGUAGCAACCACCACUGUAUUUACUUGCCUUUACCGGAAGUUCGGGCAAAUCCCUAAGUACGAUCCGGAAGUCCACCACCUGUUUUUGACACACAACUUAGUGCACCAAUUUCACAUAAUCAGGCUCAUAAACGACGUCGCACCUACGCACAAACUCAAACCCCGCCGCGGGUUACAUCUCUCCCCACACCCACCAAACUGCAGCGGCGCUGCUUAAUAAAUUUAUAACUUUAAAAUUAUGACAGCAGUGGUAACAAACAAAAACUCCAGAGACAUCUACAUGAAAUUCCCCACAAGUUUUGUAUACAAUUUAUAAUUAAAUUCCAACAUCUAAUUAGCCCAAAACAGUCCACAAGAUGAACCCUGUAAUCUGUUUUUUUGUCUUUUGGACAGCGACAUACCCGGAUUCAAACAGCGAUAUCUUUUAAAAUAUAAUUCUAAAUCAAGCACAUAAGUACUUAUUGGAAAGAUAAGACAAAGCCCUACAUCAUUAUCAUACUGGUUAACACUAAUUACCCACGAAAAAUUCCCAGAAACUGCUAAUACUACUGCUGUUCACCCACCUGAAAAUCUGUUUUUUGGACAGCAACAUAACCGGAUUCAAACAACGAUAUCUCCUAAAUUAUAACUCCAAAUCGAGCGCAUAAGUACUCGUUGGAAAGGUAUGACAAAGCUCUACAUGAUUCUCCCACUGAUCCCUACUAAUUGCCCACGAAAAAUUCCCAGAAAUCUAUAGAAUUACUGCUGUUCGUCCACCCACUAAAUUUCUGGACAACACCUCUACCAAAUCGCAUAGGUAAACAUGUAACCAAUUGGAUUGCAGCACAAAUACAACAAAAUGAUCAUGAAAAUCACCUUGGGUUCCUCCUUUCCUCCUUCUUUUCUUCCUUCUUCCUCCCUCCAAACUCCCAUGGAAGACUCGCACCCACACGACGGACACCAAGUGGGGAGGCUCCACCUUGGAGAGGAAGAGGUGGGGAGGGGGGCUAGGGUUGAGGGAUGGCGCUGCAAUCACUUGGGGAAGAAGAAGAGGGAUUGGGGCGGCUGCAAGAGUGGAAGAGAGAGGGGAGGGGCGGCCAAAGGGGU
rnacentral:lncRNA from 1 species